rnacentral:rRNA from 1 species
GAGUUUGAUCAUGGCUCAGAAUCAACGCUGGCGGCGUGCCUAACACAUGCAAGUCGCACGAGAAAGAGGGGGCAACUCCUUGAGUAAAGUGGCGUACGGGUGAGUAACACGUGACUAACCUACCUCCGAAUGGGGAAUAACCUCGGGAAACCGGGGCUAAUACCGCAUAACAUCUACGGAUCAAAGCAGCAAUGCGUUUGGAGAGGGGGUCGCGGCUGAUUAGCUAGUUGGUGGGGUAAUGGCCCACCAAGGCUACGAUCAGUAUCCGGCCUGAGAGGGCGCACGGACACACUGGAACUGAAACACGGUCCAGACUCCUACGGGAGGCAGCAGUGGGGAAUUUUGCGCAAUGGGGGAAACCCUGACGCAGCAACGCCGCGUGGAGGAUGAAGGUCUUUGGAUUGUAAACUCCUUUCGAUCGGGACGAUUAUGACGGUACCGGAAGAAGAAGCACCGGCUAACUCUGUGCCAGCAGCCGCGGUAAUACG